rnacentral:lncRNA from 1 species
CGAAGCUUCCCCAUCAUUCAUUUCUUCGUGAGCUGAGCAUCUCUCUUCUGCUCAAACCGCACCUCCGGCUAGCAGCACCAGCGAUGACCAUCACCUCCACGCCCCGCCCACACGAAGCUUCUAGGUGCUUCCCAACCAAUCCCGCCGGCGGCUUUCUCCGGCGAACUCAUCCCUUUUCUCUCGUUACAAGCCGUGCCCAACCCACUCUCCCAUUUCGCGUGUCAGUAGAAGGGGUUGGAUGCCCGAGGUGAUGAAGCGACGGGCGACGGCGGCUGUGCGUGCGCGUGGUGCCGAUGAGAGGCGAUGCGGGGGGUGCUGCGAGCGUGGGCAGCGAGCUCUCCGGCAACGUGUUUUUUUGCUGGAACGGGACUUUUUUGUUGCUGGAACCUCCUGUUCUUUUUGCUACAAUCAAUUUUUGUUGGAUUUGAUGUUUGUGGGAUUUUUGCUGGAACCGGCUGUUUCUAUUGCUACAAUCAAAUUUGUUAGAUUUUGAUGUUUGUGGAUUUUUUGCUGGACGCAGAGUAAUUUGUUGCUGGAACCGGCUGUUCUUUUUGCUACAAUCAAAUUUGAUGGAGUUUGUGAUUUGUGGGAUUUUUGCUGGAACCAGAGUAAAUUAUUCCGGGUGUUUCUUUUGCUACAAUCAAAUUUGUUGGAGUUUAAUGUUCGUGGAAUUUUUGCUGGAACCAGAGUAAAUUAUUGCUGGAACCGGGUGUUUCUUUUGCUACAAUCAUGAACGGCAGUGUUCAUCCUGCUGGAACAACAAUGUUUUUGCUACAAUCGUAGCCUGUUUUUGCUACCACCAGUGAAUUUUUGUUGCUACAUGCAUGAGCGGGUAGUGUUGGUCGACGGCGGCGAUGCCUUUCUUUUCUACACCCGUAAUGCUACCAUCGUUUUUUGCUGGAACCAGGGCCCAAAAUUGCUACCAUCGGCUUUUGUGUUGCUGGAAGGAACCAUCCAAAAGUGCUUCCAUCGGAUUUGGUUUUUGCUGGAACCUGCGCUAAAAAAUGAUACAACUGUAUAUGUAUGAAGCUACAUCCGUGUUAGCCAGAGCUGCAACUCUGUUUUGAAAAUGGUACUACCGAUGAUUUCUUGCUGCAACCAUUGUUGCUUUUUGGUACGAUUGGCGAAGUUUUUUGCUACAUCAAUUCAAAAAGGCAUUCACUGGUCCCGUCAUUCUUUGCAAUCCCGCGCAGCGAGCGUCGACGGCCAAGACAGCGGCGGCGCAUCGGGAGCUGCAACCAUAGAACUCGCCAGCGAGUUGCCGUGGUCGCCACUGGAGUUGCAAGCGCAGGGGCGCAUCGGGGGUUACAACCAUGGAGCUCGCCGCCGCCGCCAAUGGAGUUGCAGCCAACGAGAAACAUAGGCGGCGACCGGCUGCAAGGGCGGUGACCGGCAGUGAGGGAAGACGAGCAGGCGAGGCAGUCGAUGCGUGCGGGGGCGGCACUCUCCUUCCUUUCCCUUCUCUCUCGUGCGGGAGAUUGACGAUGGAGAGGGAGGACGGGGAGGACGGGGAGAGAUCUGAUGGUUAGGGACAAAGAGAUCUGACGGCUCAGGGGACCAGAUCUGACGGCUAAGGCUCGACCGGCCCAACUGUUGGGCCGGUGCGCCGGCGCAGAUCGCUGGCCCU